CGACAAUGUGCUGAUUGUUGUCUCUCCACAGAUGAACUGUACAGGUGUUGUGAUUGCUGUUCAUGGGAGAUUACGUGCCUCACAUGCUUGCGGUUGAGGCAUAAACAUCCUCAUCUGCAUUUGGAAGAACAUGGCUUACCUUUCUUUCAUUGAUGAUGAUGAGGCUUGGAAAUUGAAUGACCAUUCCUGUAGCACUACUUACCUGAAAAAAACUCGUGGUCGUGGAUGAUAAAGGUCGACAGCAUUUGAAGACCCUGCAAUUUUGCAAGUGUGAAGUCGAAGCUGUACGCUUGAUUAGGUUCAACCUGUGGCCAUCUUCAACCAAAUUUCCAAAGGUGGCAUUUCACUUUGACUUCAUGCGCUGGUUAUGUGGUCUUCUUCUUGAAAGCUCGGUGUCAGUUAAAAGUUUCUGCUCCGCAUUAGACGCGAGGACCUCAAAGCACAUGAAGACAUAUAUUCAUCACCCUGUCAAAGAUUUGUACAAAGUGCUUGUAGGAGGAACAGCCGAUGAAUUUCGACAUUUUAUCUACCAAAUGGAAAACAUCCACGAUGAUGGAUCCAAAUGUCCAGCUUGUUAUGAGGAUUCUCCCUCCCUGAAUAGCUUGCUAGAGCAGAGGAUAUAGAAAAAUAAGCAAGGAGGCUCUUCAAGAAAUUUUGGAACCUUUUGCAGGAGUAACAACUGAAUGUCUACAGGAAUGGAUAGAUUAUGAGCGGGUUGUGUGUAUCCGCAGCAAAUCAACUGAAAAUCACUCCUUGUCACCUGCUGAAGAGUAUUGUCUAGUCCUGGAGGAGCUAACAAAAUACAGGGGUGUGUUUGCGACGGAUGUAAACAAAGAUAAGAAAAGGCUAGAGACAAAACUGAAAAAGAAAGGGAAGAAGGCUGGUGUCAAAUGGGAUUCAACAAAUGUUGAUUACCUGCGGACACUCAAGACUGCACAAGAGAAACUAAGACUUCAGAUACUGGAG